CAUCGGAGGACAAGCUGAGGGAGAGACAUCGAACACAGAGACAGAGAGAAUAAAGACAUAGAGAGAGACAUAGAUAAAAGAGACAUGGAGAGAGAGCGAGAGCGAGAGCGCGAGCGAUACAGAGAGAGAGAGAGAGUGUGAAGAGAGAGGGAGAGAGAGCGAGAGCGAGAGAGAGAGAGCGAGAGAGCGAGAGAGCGAGAGAGCGAGAGAGAGAGAGAGAGAGAGAGAGAGAGAGAGAGAGAGAGAGACACAGAGGGGCACAUAGAGAUAGAGACACAUAGAGUAUCAACAGAACAGCAGGGCCCAGUGGCGCCUCUCUUCCAGUGAGGCUGACAGAAUACGGUCAGUGCCAGCCGUGUUGAAUGGCACUAUGGAGUGGGCAGUAUGUUGUUACUGAACACUGUUUCAAUGGUGUACAGUACAUACCUUACAUAGAUAAUGAUAUUCAAUCUUACAUCUGUCGAGCAUGCGUGUGUGUGUGUGUGUGUGUGUGUGUGUGUGUGUGUGUGUGUGUGUGUGUGUGUGUGUGUGUGUGUGUGUGUGUGUGUGUGUGUGUGUGUGUGUGUGUGUGUGUGUGUGUGUGUGUGUGCGUGCGUGU